GAGAGAGGCUCGCAGCAACGGAGACUGCUAAUUUCCGCAACCCUGGUUGGACCCCAGGGCUCACUCG
rnacentral:tRNA from 1 species